rnacentral:tRNA from 4 species
GGAAGCGUAUCGAAGUGGUUGUAACGAGCUGCACUCGAAAUGCAGUUGUCCGCAAGGGCACGUGGGUUCGAAUCCCACCGCUUCCGCCA